AAAUAGAUCCUGAAACCGUAUGCUUACAAAAAGUAGGAGCCCGAAGGGUGACUGCGUACCUUUUGUAUAAUGGGUCAGCGACUUACAUUCAGUGGCAAGGUUAACCGAAUAGGGAAGCCGUAGAGAAAUCGAGUCCGAAUAGGGCGUCUAGUCGCUGGGUGUAGACCCGAAACCAAGUGAUCUAUCCAUGGCCAGGAUGAAGGUGCCGUAACAGGUACUGGAGGUCCGAACCGACUAGUGUUGCAAAACUAGCGGAUGAGCUGUGGAUAGGGGUGAAAGGCUAAACAAACUUGGAAAUAGCUGGUUCUCUCCGAAAACUAUUUAGGUAGUGCCUCAAGUAUUACCUGCGGGGGUAGAGCACUGUUUUGGCUAGGGGGUCAUGGCGACUUACCAAACCAAUGCAAACUCCGAAUACCGCAGAGUACAGCUUGGGAGACAGAGCACCGGGUGCUAACGUCCGGACUCAAGAGGGAAACAACCCAGACCGCCAGCUAAGGUCCCUAAAAUUGGCUAAGUGGGAAACGAAGUGGGAAGGCUAAAACAGUCAGGAUGUUGGCUUAGAAGCAGCCAUCAUUUAAAGAAAGCGUAAUAGCUCACUGAUCGAGUCGUCCUGCGCGGAAGAUGUAACGGGGCUAAGCCAGUUACCGAAGCUGCGGAUUUGCAAUUUAUUGCAAGUGGUAGGAGAGCGUUCUGUAAGCCUGUGAAGGUGCGUUGUAAAGCGUGCUGGAGGUAUCAGAAGUGCGAAUGCUGACAUGAGUAGCGUUAAAGAGGGUGAAAAGCCCCCUCGCCGUAAGCGCAAGGUUUUCUACGCAACGUUCAUCGGCGUAGAGUGAGUCGGCCCCUAAGGCGAGGCAGAGAUGCGUAGCUGAUGGGAAACAGGUCAAUAUUCCUGUACCGAUGUGUAGUGCGAUGUGGGGACGGAGAAGGUUAGCUCAGCCAACUGUUGGACAUGUUGGUUCAAGCCUGUAGUCGUGCCUGGUAGGUAAAUCCGCCGGGCUUAGAUGAGGGGUGAUAACGAGUCUGCUUGCAGACGAAGUGAGUGAUACCCUGCUUCCAGGAAAAGCCACUAAGCUUCAGCUACACACGACCGUACCGCAAACCGACACUGGUGCGCGAGAUGAGUAUUCUAAGGCGCUUGAGAGAACUCGGGAGAAGGAACUCGGCAAAUUGACACCGUAACUUCGGAAGAAGGUGUGCCUUUAGUAGGUGAAGGGAUUUACUCCUGGAGCCCAAUGAGGUUGCAAAAAAUCGGUGGCUGCGACUGUUUAUUAAAAACACAGCACUCUGCAAACACGAAAGUGGACGUAUAGGGUGUGACGCCUGCCCGGUGCUGGAAGAUUAAAUGAUGGGGUGCAAGCUCUUGAUUGAAGUCCCAGUAAACGGCGGCCGUAACUAUAACGGUCCUAAGGUAGCGAAAUUCCUUGUCGGGUAAGUUCCGACCUGCACGAAUGGCGUAACGAUGGCCACACUGUCUCCUCCCGAGACUCAGCGAAGUUGAAAUGUUUGUGAUGAUGCAAUCUCCCCGCGGAAAGACGGAAAGACCCCAUGAACCUUUACUGUAGCUUUGUAUUGGACUUUGAACAGAUCUGUGUAGGAUAGGUGGGAGGCUUUGAAGUAGGGUCGCUAGAUCUUAUGGAGCCAACGUUGAAAUACCACCCUGGUGUGUUUGAGGUUCUAACCUAGGUCCAUUAUCUGGAUCGGGGACAGUGCAUGGUAGGCAGUUUGACUGGGGGCGGUCUCCUCCCAAAGCGUAACGGAGGAGUUCGAAGGUACGCUAGUUACGGUCGGACAUCGUGACGAUAGUGCAAUGGCAUAAGCGUGCUUAACUGCGAGACUGACAAGUCGAGCAGAUGCGAAAGCAGGACGUAGUGACCCGGUGGUUCUGUAUGGAAGGGCCAUCGCUCAACGGAUAAAAGGUACUCUGGGGAUAACAGGCUGAUACCGCCCAAGAGUUCAUAUCGACGGCGGUGUUUGGCACCUCGAUGUCGGCUCAUCUCAUCCUGGGGCUGUAGCCGGUCCCAAGGGUAUGGCUGUUCGCCAUUUAAAGAGGUACGUGAGCUGGGUUUAAAACGUCGUGAGACAGUUUGGUCCCUAUCUUCCGUGGGCGCUG
rnacentral:rRNA from 1 species